AUUUGCAUCUGUGGAUUCAAAUCAGAGAUGUAGAGAUGUGUUGUUGAUCUACAAUAUCAGAGUGGAAUCAAAAUCCUCAUCUUCAUCUUCCGACUUGAUACAGAGCCGGUGUGGGAUCUGAGUUUGUUCUUCAUCUAGGGUUUUGAUGAUGAGAGCAAUUGUGUGACGGGCUUGCCUUGCUCUCAAGAAAUCGGUUAGUUUUUUUUUUCUCACGAUUAUAUGAUUCCCUGUACCUAGGGUUUUGUUUCUCACGAUUUUCUGCUUUGUGUGGCGGCUAGGGUUCCGCCGCGAGCGGAGAGACAACUGCUUUGUUGUUGUUUAGGUCAGCGAUGGCGUACGAACGGGGAUUCAGCUGAUAUUGAAAAUAUCACCCUAUUUGAUCGAUUUGACUUACACCAGACUGAUGCAGGUCGAUUCAAACAGUUUGAGAGGUUUGACAUUGAAGGGGAUGAUAUUGACGGGGAUGAUGUGACACUAGAGAUAUUUCCUUCAAAUAACCAUUCCAUUGACCUACCAAACACUCUUAUAACCUCCCCUCUUAACAAGAUGAGCCUAAAAACUAAAAUAUGAUUUAUCUAGGAAUGGAAAGGAGCAACGAGUCGAACCGGAAUAUCAAUUGACAGUCUGGCUCUUUUUCGACUUGACUUCCAUUUAAGAUUUUGUCAAAGACAGCAACCAACUCCGUCAUGGAAACCGUGGAUCCGGAAAUAUCCGCAACGUGCAAAUACCUCGCGGAAGUAAAAAAAGGUAUUCCAACUCGCGCUUUUGUGCACCAAGCGUCAACCAUCCGAGCGACCAACAAUGCAUGAAGUAGUUCGCGUCCUCAGCAGCAUACUCCCCGCACGCAAACACAACCCCACGGGUCCCACCGUUCUACUCCCGUCUUCAAAAGUCAAGCUACAUGGACGAGUACGCCAACCUCAAGACGCCACAUCUCGUCAACUGCUCAUCCAUUAGCACCUCAGAUGCCCAACUGUUUAUGAAAUUUGGUAAGGUUAUAUCCCAAAACAUAGGGGUGUUCAAAAAAUCCGAAUCGGAUAAUCCGAAGUUUCAGAUUUGGAUUCGGAUGUGAUUUUUUAAAAAUUCGGAUAAUCGGAUUAUCCGAUAUCCGAAAACUUAAAAAAAAUAAAAAAUAUAUAGAUAAUAUAUCCCAUGUAUACACUAAUCAGUAUACACACCACACAAAAAUUAGGAUUUUGUAAUUUUAGUUCCGGCUCGUCCCUAAUCCCCUUCGCUGUUUCAAUCGGAAUGUGAUACGUCACCUACUCGCCCUCCAUUGCCGGUCGCCUUCAUCUCCUUCCUGGUCUCCGUCGCCCCCAAAGGUUGUUUCCUUUAUGUUCAAGAGUGUCUAUAAAGACAAGAUCUGUAGGUUGUUCACUUUUGGCAAAACAGUGAUUAAACUUUAAAGUAAUAAAAUGUCUAUAUUGACCUUGGUUAUGGAACACUAUGGUAUUUGUAGCAAGUACAAUGUCUAUAUUGGCCUUGGAACACUUUAAAGUAGUAAAAUGUCUAUAGUGGCCUUGGUUAUGCUAUUUUAGUCUA